rnacentral:lncRNA from 1 species
GGGUUCAGUGGUGAUCGCCUUCACCAAAAAAUGGUUGCAGACAAUGGGCUCCAGCUUGUAAAAAAAAUAGAUAAGUUGGAGGGAGGAUUUCAUCGGAUUGAUGUAUGUGAAUAAUAAUGAAAUUCUUUGUGCAACAUGGGCGGGGUAGAAAAUCCGACGUAGAAUAUAUCAUCUCAUUCGAUUGGUUUACAUAGUCAUCACUUUC